rnacentral:lncRNA from 1 species
AAAUGGGUGUAGUUAUCCUAGAGAGGGAGUAGCCCUAAAAAUCUCUAAGGAGAUGAGCAUAAGAAACCUACUUGCUUCAUAAACAAGAAAAUAAUCUGAGAUAAAGUAAUAUAUACAAUUUUAUUUUUCAGUGAAAUGUAAUGUAAACCUCUUUUUUCUGGUCUUUUAAUUGACUUUUCAAGCAAAUCCCCCAGACAUUUAUUCAUUUUAAAGUGAAGAUUUACAUUGGAAAACACAAAUGAAAUGAUUGGAGGGUAUGCAAUCAUGGGUCUUAAAGAGACCGAAAUCAUUAGCCUUACAGGGCACGACGUAUUUCUUUCAGACCCUGCAUGUUUCUGAGUAUUAUAACAUGUUUAUUUUUUCCUCAAUCAUUUGUUACACUCUCUGCCUUGGGUGGCUAAAUUAAACUGGUUUUCAUGGGACUUUCUCAGUUUCUUGGAGAUACUGUUCCUGGGAAAGCCAUCAGCCCUGAGAUUGGUGAUCAUCCUAGAACUGCAGGGUCAUCUGGCUCUGCUUUAGCAAUGGAGACUUGAGUAGAUGUGAGAGGACUGAAUUGAUGAGGUGAAGGAGUAGACAGGCAUCUGUGGUGGACAGGAAUCUGUGCUCCUUCAAGUUUGGGGUCAGCUCAGGUUGGGGGAGGAGAGGGAUCACUUGAAACUCUCUUGGGAAGCCACAUAAAAUCACAACACUGGAUUAUAGGCACAAAGUUUGCUGUCACACUUGCAGUUUUAUCCAGCUUGUCUGGCUCUUCUCUGAAUCCUGUCUUAAAAGCAGCAUCCUCCUAUUCUUGAGAAAGCCUAAACUUAAGUGACAGGACAUAAAUAGCUGGAGAGAAAAAUCCAGUUCAAUAUAGGCCAGAGAAAAUUCAAACUCCCACAAAUCCCCACCCUCAAGUCCUCAAAGCUGGAGGAGUUAAGAGCAUUACAUCACCAGCUACUGCUCCCAUUGGCUAAUGGUACCUCAAGGACCAGAACACCUGCUCCUUGGACUAACUCUUUCCUUCCCUUGCAAAGCAUCGGAAACCUGAAUAUCUUGAAUAGAACAAAGCCUCUGGGCGAUGACAGCCUUUCAGAGGGGCACACCCUGCUGGGUCACGGUUUCAACGUGCAUGCCCCUGUGAGCAUGUGCAUGGCGGGACGCACUGAGCCCAGCCAACAAGUGGUGACACGAGCUUAUUUCAUCAAUGUAACAUUACCUGUAGUCCACUGAAGAAGAGCGUGAGCUACAAAAAUGGCAAGGAUUCAGAUGAACGUUUUGUAUUCAGCUUCUUCUGCAAAAGGUAGAAAUAUCCCAACUGUAUGAUUUUCAUCAUCUGCUACUUAAAUCCCAAUUCAGUCCCAAUCAAGCACAAACAAUGAUUUGCAGACUGC